UGAGACAGUUCGGUCCCUAUCCGUCGCGGGCGUAGGAAAUUUGAGAGGAGCUGUCCUUAGUACGAGAGGACCGGGAUGGACACACCGCUGGUGUACCAGUUGUUCCGCCAGGAGCAUCGCUGGGUAGCUACGUGUGGACGGGAUAAGUGCUGAAAGCAUCUAAGCAUGAAGCCCCCCUCAAGAUGAGAUUUCCCAUGGAGUUAAUCCAGUAAGACCCCUUAGAGAUGAUGAGGUUGAUAGGUCUGGUGUGGAAGCGUGGCGACACGUGGAGCUGACAGAUACUAAUCGGUCGAGGACUUAUCCA
rnacentral:rRNA from 1 species